CUGCUGCCUCCCGUAGGAGUUUGGGCCGUGUCUCAGUCCCAAUGUGGCCGUCCACCCUCUCAGGCCGGCUACUGAUCGUCGCCUUGGUGGGCCGUUACCCCGCCAACAAGCUAAUCAGACGCGGGUCCAUCUUACACCACCGGAGUUUUUCACACAAAUCCAUGCGGCUUCGUGCGCUUAUGCGGUAUUAGCACCUNUUUCUAAGUGUUAUCCCCCAGUGUAAGGCAGGUUACCCACGCGUUACUCACCCGUCCGCCACUAAG
rnacentral:rRNA from 1 species